UAUUUUUGUCAAAAGUAACCA
rnacentral:piRNA from 1 species